UCAACUAGUUACCGGUAACAAAGGCCCGUGUUGGCCAAGUCUAAAGCAAUUUAAACUAGCUGGAUUAACUGACC
rnacentral:sRNA from 12 species